UUGGCACAGAAAGUAAGGCAGGCCGUGGAAGGUAGGUGUAAAGGAGUAGAUACAGCUUGUAAUUUGGAAACCGACUAAAGUCGACGACCCCACAACGCCAUUACUGCCCGCUCAGUACACUCUUCAUCUUCAAGCCUCUGUCUCUCUCUCUGUCAAUCCUCAUUCCUCUGGGCCCCGUAUUACCAAUCUCCUUCUCAACUUCAAUUUCAAGUUGAAAAUGGGGAGCAAAGCACCAAGCUGGGCUGAUCAGUGGGGUUCGGGAGAUUAUGGAGUCGAAGACGAUGACAACACGGCGAUGACGAAGAAAGGGAGCAGCAAUGGCAAUAGUAGCAAGAAGAUGGCAGAUGUAAAGGCAGCAGCCUCAGCUGGAUUUGUGAAGGCCAAGUCUGCUGCAGCAGUUGGUGCUCAAAAAGUGAAAUCUGGAACUUCAGUAGGCAUCAAAUGGGUCAAGAAUCAGUACCAGAAAAAGGUCUCCAAAUGACUCAAUAUGCUUGAAUUCUCCCUUUUGAACACUUUUUUUUUUCUUUAACAUAAAUUGUAGUCUGGAUAUUUUUGUAGUUCUGUGAAAACAAACCCAAUUUCCUGCA